CACCAGAUGCAAGUGAACCGAGGCAAAUCCCCAAGCAUAUGCACGAUGGAUGGUGCAUAUUUAGGAAUUGAUGAAAUACGAGAAGUAGCAUAGCAUGCUAUCCACUGUGAGAUUUGAUACGGUCCAAUUGCACCUGGUGCAUGCAAUAUGGAGGCUGGAUCAUAAGGUUCUGUUAUAUCAAGGAAAAAAGGAAGAUCCUUUCUAUGAG
rnacentral:lncRNA from 1 species